CGUGUAGGCGGAUGGGGACGUCGGUUGCUGAAAUCCCCCGGCUCAACCGGGGAACGGGCGCCGAAACGCCCCGUCUGGAGGGACGUAGGGGGACCUGGAACUUCCGGUGGAGCGGUGAAAUGCGUUGAGAUCGGAAGGAACGCCCGUGGCGAAAGCGAGGUCCUGGACGUUUUCUGACGCUGAGACGCGAAAGCUAGGGUAGCGAACG
rnacentral:rRNA from 1 species